GGCCAGAUAAGGCAAUAAAAGCUGGCCACUCUAGCCAGCAACGGCAGCUGGCUGCUUUCUGUUGGCAUGCAGUGUGGUGUUUGUUCUUUUGCUCUUUGCAAUAAAUCUUGUUGCUGCUCACUGUUUGGGUCUGCACUGCCUUUAUGAGCUGUAACACUUAUUGUGAAGGUCUGCAGGUUGACUCCUGAGGCCAGGGAGACCACGAACCCACCGGUAGGAAGAAACUCUGGACACAUCCGAACAUCAGAAGGAGCAAACUCCAGACACACCAUCUUUAAGAACUGCAACACUCACCGGAGGGUCCGCGGCUUCAUUGUUGAAGUCAGCGAGACCAAGAACCCACCAAUUCCAGAUGCAGUCUCACCUGUAUAUGGAAUUUAAUAAAGCCAGACUCAUGGAAGCAGAGAGUAGAGCAGAGGUUGCCAGAAGCUUGGAUUGGAGGAGAGAUUUGUGAUCUUACUUAGAUGAUGUGUGAGACAGUAAAUGAAAUGAGGAGCAUUCACUUAAAUGUUGCUGAGCAUUUCUGUCUUCUGGGCUCCAGUAUCUGAGAGUUGAUUAUGAGUUUCUUCUAAUAUCAUAAGAAUGAAGGCAUACAAACAUCUUGAAGUACAAUAUGAAAUUUGUAAGUAUUUCUAGUGAGACUGUGGGAGAAAGCCAAUAAUUGUUCCUGGCAAUAAAUGGAAUAUUAAAAAAAAAAACCCUUGAUGAUAUGUUAACAAUCUCAAUUCCCAAUAUGCUGCCUCACUUGGGUUUGUACUCUUUUUAUGGUAAAGCUUUUUAUAAUAUGUUUUCUUUGAAUAUUAAAAUUACUUAAUUUUUCCUCAUUUUGGUAAUAAGUCUUAAAAAUUAAAUUAUUUCUAUACUUAUUCAAAUUAUGGUUAGUCACUUAAAGAAAAAUGGCUAUCUUGAGUCAUCUUUCAGUGGCUAUUUCACUUCAAACUAUGAAAAGCUUUUUCAUAUUAGCAGUAAACAUUUUCAAUAACAAAGGAGAUUAUCAUCAUUAAUCAUAUAAUUUAUUCCUCUUUGCACUGAAAUACUCAAUUUUUGUGUCUGGUUAUAUCUGAUUUCAUAUUCUCUUUCACAAAAAUGAUCUGUUCUUCUUAUUUUCUCAUUUAUUCUCCCAAGUUUAUUUUAUAUGCUAUCCUCUGCAUACAAUCUGAUCUCCAAAAGCCAUCCACACAUACAUAAUGUCCAUGACAUUUAAUGUAGACUAAACCCAUAGUACUUAUAUUCAUUGACCUUUGUAUUAUAUUGACUGUAUAUUUACUUGAGCUCUGCUUCAACGAUGGAUAUGAAGAGAGAAAAAUCUCUUUCUGAGCUGUUAUCCUACAAAUUUAUAGCCCCAAACACUGAAACAUUAAAUACAUUAUUGUUCAACAAUGUAUUUAACUCAAGCUAAUCAAUUCUCUUUCUUUAUGACAAAUAGCUGAGGAAAUACAGUUAUUAUCAAUGAUGUAUUUUUGACCGAUAAUCUCUAAAUAUUUUCAAUUAAGUUUCACAAGUCUUAACUUUACAUUUUUCUUUAAAAUGAGCAUAAUGAAAUCACUAAUAACAAUUUGAUCUCUAACAAAUUGUGUGUGUAUGUUUAGAGUUAUAACACAUACAAAAUAUAUAUUUAAUUUCUCACCUGUUGUUUUUAACUGUAUUUUAUCCUAUGGUAGCAUUCACUAGUGAGACCCACAUGCACACAAUUUUAGAUGUUAAGAGAAAAUAUUAAUAAAUUAUCUAGUUCAUUCUCAUAACUUUUAAAGAAGGCUUCUAAAAUACAGCCAGAUUUGAGGUACUUUAAUCAGUAUUACUUUUUAUUUAAUAGAUAUACAUAUUUAUUUUCAGCUAAUAUUUUAAGUCAAUCUAGACAGGUAGAUGAUUGUUUGCAAUUACUCUACUAUAACCAUACAUUUAUUUCUUCUUUUAGUAACCUUUACUUGGUAAGUGAAAUAGGAGGUGACUGUGAUGAACAAUACCAUUAAUAAAGAUGAAAUUACUACUGAGUCAGAAUAAUUUUUGAAAUUAUCAUUUUUAAUAACUUUUGCAGAUAUUGCAUGUAUUUGUUAGGCCAUUGUUUAAAGAAAAAGGACCAAAAAACUACAAUAAGUGUUCAAAAUAAGUGUAAAUGGCAAGAUAAGGAAUGCUGGUUGCCUUGGCAACUAAGAAACACAUUUAAAGCAAGAUUACCCUGGGUAAAAAUUAUAGAAAAGGUAAUACAUUUUUAUUGUCUGAAGUGAAAAUCACAACUCAAUAAAGACUGAUGUCUGUAUCAACUCAGAUUGUAAAAUUCAGUUACAGUGCUUACAUCCAGAAGUCAAGAUACUUUUUUGAUAAUUGUUUUCUUAUUAUUUUUUCCUGGAGAACCACUUCUCUUUGACGUCUGAUAGCAUUCAACUUAAACUUUAUACAAUUGUCAUCAUAUAAUUAUUUAUAAGGCAGGGUUUAGAGGACACUUUUAGAUUUGUGACAUAGAAAUUUUAAGAAGGCCGAUUCACACACACACAUAUAUGUAUAAGUCAACUCAACUCUCUAUACUUUGAUUUUAUUACCUCUUAAAUAUAAUUUUGUAUUGACCUCUUAACAAUAUCCAACGAGAAGAGGAAAGACUAGGAUAAAUUUUCUUGCCAUGGCAUCAAUACUCAAUAGGUGAAUUUCUAUAUUCAUUCUUAUAACUCAGAACAAAUUUUUAAUACUGAUUGCAAUUAGAGAAAAGUUUCCAUCAAAACUUUAAAAAGCUAAAAUAGCACUUUUUUAAUCUAUUUAAAAAAUCUAUAAAAAGGCACCUUUUCCUGCAUUAAUAAACAAAUGGAGCCAGUUGUACUUUAAGUGCAGUAAAUAUAAUGUGAAAUUUCUCAGAGUAUGUACAGUUAGAUGCUACUGAAGAUUGAGAACUGCAUAAUUAUUGGGAUUAUACAUUCACAAACUCUGUAAUAUUAUUUAUAUAAAAUUCUGCUAAGUAAAUCAUUGGCCAUGGUUAAAAUGAAUGGACUCCUUAAUGUAAUCUAAGUGAGGUGCUGAUAGCUCAGUCACAUUGAAACAACACCGAAUUUAGGCUCAACAUGAAUGAAGUUCAAAUCUGAAUUAUGUCACUUACUAUCUUUUUUACUCUGCCAACUCAAUUAACUUUAUGUGUUUUACUUAACUCAUGUUUGAAUUGGAAAUAAAACAGCUUCCGUGUUUCAUUAAGGUUCUGUGGUAAGAUUAAAACGUGAUGUUGUGUUAAUAAAUAACAACAUGUAUAAUACAGUGGCUCAAUCCGAUAAUCCCAGCACUUGGGGAGGCCGAGGCAGACAGAUCACCUGAGGUCAGGAGUUGAAGACCAGCCUGGCCAACAUGGUGAAACCCCAUCUCUACUAAAAAUACAAAAAUUAGCAAGGCAUGGUGACAUGCACCUGUAAUCCCAGCUACUUGGGAGGCUGAGAAAGGAGAAUUGCUUGAACCUGGGAGGCAGAGGUUGCAGUGAGCUGAGAUUGUGCCAUUGCACUCCAGCCUGGGCAACAGAGCAAAACUCCAUCUCAAAAAAAAUCACACAGAUCUCAGAUAUGAUAAUUAUGUCUCAGAUUAUUGGUGUAUAACUAGGUGAUAUUUUAUAUUAUUUUCAUUUAGUCAUCAAAUACGUGUUGUGCCCUGCCAUAUGCCAGGUGAGCAUUGGUAUCUUAAAGUAUAGAUAUGUGAAGACAUUUUUUUCUGCCUUACAGGAUUUCACAGAUUUGGUGACAUAGACAUGUAAUCAGACAAAUAAAAUAAAAGAGUAAAGUUUGAGAUUUAUUCAUUGAAACAAAGAAUGCCAAAUGGUAUAAAAUUCAUACAUUUUGGUAGGAAAUUUAUGUACAAGCAAACUACAUCACUAGUAUUCACCAUAAGUGAGUUGCUAAGGGCCUGAUAAAAAAAGAGGCAGGGACUCUGCUUCUCUGGUAGCCUCAGCUGAAUUAGGGGUCAGAGCUCUUUCCAUGACAACUUUUCUCUUCUCAACAUUCUUUUGAUUUUCAGUAACUGCUUUGCUUCAUCCCCAAAUGAGAGCCAUUGUCAUAGAGUUGGUGGCUUGAUGAGAAGGAAAACUGUGCUUCCUAAAUAAAUCAAGAAACAAGAUAAUAAAUAAUAAGUUAGUUGCUAAGGAGUAGAAAACAUGAAAAAUCAAUGUAUGAUAUUGAUGAUUUACAACAUUUUACUAUUGUGUAGAAUACUUUAUUUGAUGGCUGAACAACACUAGCACAGAUUUUCAGUUAUUAACAACAUAUAUGGGCAUGGCAUGGUGGCUUACACCUGUAAUCCUAGCAAUUUGGGAGACUGAGGUGGGUGGAUCACUUGAGCCCAGGAGAUUGAGACUACGCUAAGCAACAUGACGAAACCCCAUUUCUUCAAAAACUACAACAAAUUAACCGAGUGUGGUGGUGCAUACUUGUAGUCCCAGCUACUCAGGGGGCUGAGGAGGGAGAAUCACCUGAGCCUAGGAGGUAAAGGCUGCAGUGAGCCAGGACCAAGCCACUG
rnacentral:lncRNA from 1 species